rnacentral:rRNA from 1 species
CAGUCGCCGCGGGAAUACAGAGGGUGCGAGCGUUAAUCGGAUUUACUGGGCGUAAAGCGUGCGUAGGCGGCUUCUUAAGUCGGAUGUGAAAUCCCUGAGCUUAACUUAGGAAUUGCAUUCGAUACUGGGAAGCUAGAGUAUGGGAGAGGAUGGUAGAAUUCUAGGUGUAGCGGUGAAAUGCGUAGAGAUCUGGAGGAAUACCGAUGGCGAAGGCAGCCAUCUGGCCUAAUACUGACGCUGAGGUACGAAAGCAUGGGGAGCAAACAGGAUUAGAGACCCGUGUAGUCCCUGUCUCUUAUAC